GUGAGGAAUAUUGGACAAUGGGCGCAAGCCUGAUCCAGCCAUGCCGCGUGCAGGAAGACGCAUCUAUGGUGUGUAAACUGCUUUUGUACGGGAAGAAACACUCCCUCGUGAGGGAGCUUGACGGUACCGUAAGAAUAAGGAUCGGCUAACUCCGUGCCAGCAGCCGCGGUAAUACGGAGGAUCCAAGCGUUAUCCGGCAUCAUUGGGUGUAAAGGGUCCGUAGGGGGUGUAAUAAGUCAGUAGUGAAAGCCCAUCGCACAGCGAUGGAACGGCCAUUGAUACUGUUAGACUUGAAUUACAAGGAAGUAACUAGAAUAUGUAGUGUAGCGGUGAAAUGCUUAGAUAUUACAUGGAAUACCAAUUGCGAAGGCAGGUUACUACUUGUGGAUUGACGCUGAUGGACGAAAGCGUGGGGAGCGAACAGGAUUAGAAACCCGGGUAGUCC
rnacentral:rRNA from 1 species